rnacentral:rRNA from 2 species
AAAUUGAAGAGUUUGAUCAUGGCUCAGAUUGAACGCUGGCGGCAGGCCUAACACAUGCAAGUCGAACGGUAACAGGAAGCAGCUUGCUGCUUUGCUGACGAGUGGCGGACGGGUGAGUAAUGUCUGGGAAACUGCCUGAUGGAGGGGGAUAACUACUGGAAACGGCGGCUAAUACCGCAUAACGUCGCAAGACCAAAGAGGGGGACCUUCGGGCCUCUUGCCAUCAGAUGUGCCCAGAUGGGAUUAGCUUGUUGGUGAGGUAACGGCUCACCAAGGCGACGAUCCCUAGCUGGUCUGAGAGGAUGACCAGCCACACUGGAACUGAGACACGGUCCAGACUCCUACGGGAGGCAGCAGUGGGGAAUAUUGCACAAUGGGCGCAAGCCUGAUGCAGCCAUGCCGCGUGUAUGAAGAAGGCCUUCGGGUUGUAAAGUACUUUCAGCGGGGAGGAAGGUGUUG